rnacentral:rRNA from 1 species
UACGGGGGGGGCAAGCGUUGUUCGGAAUUACUAGGCGUAAAGGGCUCGUAGGCGGCCACUUAAGUCUUGCGUGAAAUCUUGCGGCUCAACCGCAAGCGGUCGUGGGAAACUGGGUGGCUAGAGUGCGGGAGAGGAGAGUGGAAUUCCAGGUGUAGCGGUGAAAUGCGUAGAUAUCUGGAGGAAUACCGGUGGCGAAGGCGGCAUCCUGGACCAUUACUGACGCUGAAUCGCGAAAGCUAGGGGAGCAAACGGG